AUGUUUGAAUUAUUAAAGACUUUAUUUUCCAAGAUUAUUCCCUACCACUAUGACCCUGAGGGAGCUAAUUCUUACAUUUUAUUUUCUUCAGCUGUUUGAUGUUGAUGAGGAUGGCUACAUAACGGAGGAAGAGUUCUCCACCAUUCUACAGGCUUCCCUUGGAGUGCCUGACCUUGACGUUUCUGGUCUCUUCAAGGAAAUAGCCCAAGGGGACUCAAUUUCCUAUGAGGAAUUUAAAAGUUUUGCCUUAAAGCAUCCAGAAUAUGCUAAGAUAUUUACAACAUACCUAGACCUCCAGACGUGCCAUGUGUUUUCAUUACCAAAAGAAGUCCGGACAACCCCUUCCACCGCCAGUAAUAAAGUCGGCCCUGAAAAGCAUGAAGAGAGUACCUCAGACAAAAAAGACGACUGAAAGCAGUAUUUCCAAUAAGGAAAACACAGUAGCUUUUGCUUGAAAUUGUAAAGGCACUUAUUGAUAAUACUUUUAAUGUGUUGGUAAUGAUGUUUAAAAUUGAAAGAUUUUAAAAAUAAAAAUGAUAGAUUUUCUUACU
rnacentral:sRNA from 1 species